CCUACGGGAGGCAGCAGUAGGGAAUCUUCCACAAUGGGCGCAAGCCUGAUGGAGCAACACCGCGUGGGUGAAGAAGGGUUUCGGCUCGUAAAGCCCUGUUGUUGGAGAAGAUCGUGCGUGUGAGUAACUGUUCACGCAGUGACGGUAUCCAACCAGAAAGUGCCGGCUAACUACGUGCCAGCAGCCGCGGUAAUACGGAGGUGGCAAGCAUUAUCCGGAUUUAUUGGGCGUAAAGCGAGCGCAGGCGGUUGCUUAGGUCUGAUGUGAAAGCCUUCGGCUUAACCGAAGAAGUGCAUCGGAAACCGGGAGACUGGAGUGCAGAAGAGGACAGUGGAACUCCAGGUGUAGGGGUGGAAUCCGUAGAGAUAUGGAAGAACACUAGUGGCGAAGGCGGCCGGCUGGAACGCAACUGACGCUGAGGCUCGAAAGCAUGGGGAGCGAACAGGAUUAGAUACCCGAGUAGUC
rnacentral:rRNA from 1 species